GUUUUUAUUGCUGAGUAUCAGUAAUAACCCCUUUUUUUUUCAACGUACCUCCAUUUAGCAAAGCAAAGACAGAAUCUUUAUUUUAUUUAUAUGAUUCUAAACUAUGUAUAUAACGAAUAUGUAGAGUGUUUGUUAGGAAUGUGUCAAAUACUUUGUAUUAAUGACAUUUUUACAUCAUUAAAAGUAUACUAUUCACGACGACAUCUUAUAGUUUUAUCCUAAUGAAAUUGCAAGGACGUGAAUUACUUUAUAAUUUACAUAUUUACCUCUUUUGUGCAGUGAUAUGUUUCCUUUAUCUUUAUUAAUUAGAAUAGUUACAAAAUUAUGGCAAUUAAAUAUGACUGUUUAGUUUCCUAUAUAAAUAUGAUGAAACCUUAGGAAAUGAUUUUUUAAUGUAUAACUUGUUUCCUUUCCCAUUAUAUGCGCAUGAGUAUUAGUCCAAUCAAUCAUGGGGUGGCUGCCUGGUCGUACAGCGCGCUGGACUUUCGUUCAGAUUUGUCGAUGGCUCCGGGUUCAUACCCUGCCAACUUCUAUUUCCCGUCGGCC